UACAGAGGUCUCAAGCGUUGUUCGGAUUCAUUGGGCGUAAAGGGUGUGUAGGUGGCGCCGUAAGUCGGGUGUGAAAUUUCGGAGCUUAACUCCGAAACUGCAUUCGAUACUGCGGUGCUUGAGGACUGGAGAGGAGACUGGAAUUCGAUGGUGUAGCAGUGAAAUGCGUAGAGAUCAUGAGGAAGACCAGUGGCGAAGGCGGUUCUCUGGGCCUUACCUGACACUGAGGAGCGAAAGCCAGGGGAGCAAACGGG
rnacentral:rRNA from 1 species